rnacentral:rRNA from 1 species
GGGGGGGGGGGGGGGGGGGGCGGGUGCGUGCGAGUCGAGCGAACGGACGGGAGGCUUGCUUCUCUGAUGUGAGCGGCGGACGGGUGAGUAACACGUGGAUAACCUACCUAUAAGACUGGGAUAACUUCGGGAAACCGGAGCUAAUACCGGAUAAUAUUUUGAACCGCAUGGUUCAAAAGUAAAAGACGGUCUUGCUGUCACUUAUAGAUGGAUCCGCGCUGCAUUAGCUAGUUGGUAAGGUAACGGCUUACCAAGGCAACGAUGCAUAGCCGACCUGAGAGGGUGAGUGGGCACAAGGGAACUGAGAAACGGUCCAGACUCCUACGGGAGGCAGCAGUAGGGAAUCUUCCGCAAUGGGCGAAAGCCUGACGGAGCAACGCCGCGGGAGUGAUGAAGGUCUUCGGAUCGUAAAACUCUGUUAUUAGGGAAGAACAUAUGUGUAAGUAACUGUGCACAUCUUGACGGUACCUAAUCAGAAAGCCACGGCUAACUACGUG